rnacentral:lncRNA from 1 species
AUGCGGGGGGUCCCCCCCUUCAGUCCCCCGGCCGGGGGUCCCGCAGGGCCGGCAGCAAGGGGGGGCUGCGCCCGCAGCAUCUCCGGUUCCUGCGGCAACCGGGCGCGCCCCGGGAAUGCUCCGGGGCGCUGCUGCCCCGUCCCGGCAGCCCCGCACCCACCCGGCGCGGGGGGGGCUCGGCCGCCGGGGCAGCGGGAGGCGCCCGGUGCCGUCGGUGGGCUCCGGGGUGAACCCCCCCGCGGGUCCCGUCCCGGGGGGACGGAGAUGGGGAGCAGAGGGGCAGGAUUUUGGGGACGGGGGGGGGAAAUCCUGCAGCCCCCCGCCGCCUGCACCCCGAGGGAGGGUCGCGGCCCCCCGGCCCCCCCCACCUCGGCGCUAUUUAUUUACAGCGCGGCUGGCGCCAGCCGCCUCCGCUGCCUCCUUCCCGGGGGGGGGGGGGGGGGGGGGCCGGGACCUGCGGGGGGCAGCGGGGGGCUCAGCGCCCCUCCCGGGGGGUCCCGCUCCGGACCCUCAGGGCCCCCCCAAAGCUCCCCCACCCCCGGGCCCGGGCGUCCGGAGCGGGGGGGCCGUUCCCAGGCCCGCCGCUGCCCCCGGCUGACGCACAUCCUCCGCCCACGGCCCCGCCGCUUCCCGGCUCCGCCGCCCACGGCCCGGGGGGGGCCCCCGGAGCCCGCUCCCCGCCCCCGGCCCCCGCCGCCCCCUCCCCUGCCUGGGGGGGGGGGCGUGGAGGGGGAGGGGCACGGAGCCGAGCACCGGGCGCCCCCUCGGGGGGUGGGGGGGUCCCGGCACCCCCUGAGGGGCCCGGCACCGACGCCCUCCGGUCCCGAGGGGGCACCGCGGGGGGGUCCCGGGGAUGGGGGGGGAUGGGCAGGGUGCUCCCUCCCCCAACCCCACUCGGAGGCAGCCGCUGGGGGAGGCGGGGGGAACCGGGGGGCGGCGGGGGCCGGGGACGGGGGGACCGGGGGGGUCCCGGGGGGGGAAUGGGGGCGGGGGGGGCGGCCCCGGGGAAGCUCCGGGACCCCCGACCCAGCCAACGCGGUGUCGCCCCCUGAUAGGUGGAGCUGUUUGUCAAUCAAAACAGAGGGGCGGGAGCGCGCCGCCGGGCCGGGCUGCGCGCUGAUUGGCUGCUGCGAGUGUCUGUCAUGGCCGUUGCUAAGGCGGUGCUCGGCGGGGCCCCGCCUGCCCGCUCUGGCUGCUGGUGGCGGCCUUAGCAACGGGAGGGCGGGGCUAAGCCCACGCUGCGCUGAUAGGCUGAGAGCCCCGUCAGUCAGCCCCGCGGGAGGCAGGGGGCCGGGCGAGGCCGCAGAGGCCUUCCUAUUGGCCCGGACAGCUGUCAGUACGCUGUGA